UUCCUUUCUCAAUUUUAUUAAAACAUUGUUUCAACUUAAGUGUGUUUGUUUUUAUAUUUUCAAUUGAACAAAUAAUGAUGUUCAAGAAAUUUUAAAUGAAACAAUUUAUUUUUAAAAAUACACCCAAACGCACACAUACACAACAGAUGAAUUUACAUACAAACAUAUCAUUAUUCUAACUCACCCAUCACCUACAACGACACACUUUAAAGUUUGCAUUAUAAUUAUCUAUAUAAAAUAACC
rnacentral:lncRNA from 1 species